CUGCUGAGGAGAGGUCAGCGUUUGUUUAAGCCACCAGCUUCCCUCGGGGCCGCAGCCUCGUACAAGCUCUCGCACGUUCCACAGACGACGCAGGCGCUCGGUAUUCCAGGCGCUCUCGCGCAGCCCGACCGGCGCGGCCGCCCCACCCAGCCCCCACCCGGAGGCGCGACUGCCGAGGUGCAUUCUGGGUACGAGGGUCGGAAGCACGGCAGGCGGACGGCUGGUCAGGUGGGCAGACGGGGCGGCGGGAAGGGCCGCGGGCCCCGCUGGGGAGCUGAAGACGGACGGAACCCAGGAUGAGUUCCUCAGCUUUCCGACGCAGGCGCCCAAACUAAAAACUGCGUAUCAGGGGAACAGAGCCUUCCCAGGUCGGCUCCCAAAGCCGCUCGACCACGCAGCCUUGCCCUCGCCGGAUGAGCCCCGUAAUUUGCACCACCUGUGAAUUAUUCUAGUAGAGGAGUCGGAGAAGUUUGGGACAGGAGCUCAAUGCAAGGGACUCCACGUUAUCCUCUAGAAACACCCCAUGACCUGGAACACAACUGAGCCAACUUGGGCAAAACUGAUAGGGGUGCAAAUUCAACACUGCUUAUUAUAUCUGAGUGAACUUAUUUUUUGUUACCAUGCAAUCAAAGUGCAAGAUGGUGUUUUUCUCAGUUUUCUGAAAGGAGUUGCAGCAAAGCCCUUAUGAAGCCUUUACUCCUCCAUGUAUUUAGAGUUGGCAGGAUCAGAGGGAGGAGAAUGGAAUGAAAACUUCAUAGUCCAAAGCCAACUUUGUGGAUCAGAUGCUGUGGGCUGAAUCUUGGAGGAGGACAAGUCUAAGCUCUGUGUUCCUGCGAGGCCUCCCCAGCUAACUCACCUGUAAAUCCACGUGUGGAAGGAAGACAGAUAAAUAGCUGGAUUUGGUGUCGCACUGAUUCCUGGGAAGGAAGGACAGCUGUCAACACUGUGGACCAUUAGGUAUUGGUUGCCAGUUGGGAAGGUCAUCAGAAAACUUAAGACAGUCACUGGUAAGAAGAAUAAUGAUAAUGAAGAUAAAGCACAAAAACACUUGGGGGUAUCUCGAUCCAACCCAGGGCAGGAAGGCUGUUCAUCAGUAUGGCUGGUGAUAUGACGAGUGCUGGAAGUAGCACCAGAUACUCCUGAUGGAUUUUGGCUCUGCUAACACUAGGAGACGGGCUCUUCCAGAUUCUAAACUUCUGACCAUUGCAAAUGACUAGUCAGCUUAGAAAUGGGGUUACAGUGUUUGACUCACCAAAAAAAAAAAAAAGGAUACUUUGUCAUUGGUUUUUCUCUUCCUCUGUGUGAAAUCAGACUUCCUUACCAUAUUUUAUCACUUGUUCUUAUUACUUGCACUAACCAUGAGGAGGUCAAACUCUUAUGCACACGACCACACAGGAAGAAGAGAACCCUGGUGGACACCCGGUGCUGUAGCCUAAACCCGGCACCUACAACACUGUGAGGGGAAGAAACAUGGCAGUGGGGCUCACUGUUGCUCCCAUGGUGUGCAGACCUGUCCAUGGGCAGAAAAUAGGGAACCCAAACAUUUGUGUUUGCUGCGGAGGAAAUGGCUCAUAGUCUUUCAUCGUGUGGCGGCAGGCAGAGAGCUGCAGUCACCUCUUCAUGGGGGAAAGCGGGAGGGAGGCCACGGGCAUCCCUCAGCCUCGUGCUUUCCCUAUGAGGAAGGUCAGAUGGACUAUUUUUUAAUCAUUUAUGGGUUUAUUUUGUGUCUACAAAACACAGUCAUUCAUCAUUUAAGUAUCAGACAUCAUUAGAACACAUUUUAACACUUUUUCUUUCUUACUUUUACGAUACAGUAAUUUGCUUAAAAAAAAAAACAAAACUAUGAACCAAUGUUCUGGUUUCCUCUCACUCAACUAAUGUGCACCUCAGGGAUGGCAGUUUGUAAGUCGGUAACAUGGCAGGCAGCAGACUGAGGUUCAGAGGACCUCCCACUUAAGAGUGCUAACAAGCUACAGAGCCUGCUCUCUCUAUCCCUUCUCCUGUCCCUAUCCUAUUAUAUGUACAACUUUUUAUAGAUUAGGAAAUGUGUGGGGGCUUAGAGAAGUUGUCACUUGCCUCAGCUCACAGAGCUGGCAAAUGUUAGAGUCCAGAUUCAAAUCCCAGGCCUGACUUCAUAACCUUACCCUUAAUCUUUGUUAUAUUAGUUCCACAGAAAAUUAGCAUUCAUUUAGCCUCCUCUGGUCCAAUCUUCUAUAGCAUCCGCACACGCCCUUGGCAGCACACUCAGCACAGGGCCAUCUCUGACUGUAACCCCCCGUGAGCGAGCAGCACCGGGCAGUGUGGCCCUUCCUCCGCCGGACGCCUGCCCCACCAGAGCACACACAGUCUUCACAACCGCCUGUGCCCAGGAGACAAAGCUAUCGUCUGAACAGGCCUCCUCUUCUGAACAGUCAGUUAUGCUUUAAAGUGCAGAUGGGAAAUUAUGUUGUUAUGUACAAAACAAAUAUACUGUGGAUUAUAUGCAACAUUGUCAUUUAGUUUUAAGGGAAAACAUGAGACCUGUAGAAGUUAGCCCUUGCUCUGAGCAACUA